CGGCGUCCCGAUCUCCCCCAGAUUCGGGAUGUCCGACGGGUCCUGCCGAUCCCCCAAGUGGCAGGACCCGUCCCCU
rfam:Kocuria rhizophila DC2201 DNA, complete genome.